CACGUGACCAAUGAGGACUGGCAGAUACUCUGCGAUAGGUUUUCGUCUGAUUCUUUUCAGAAGAGGAGCAAAAUAAAUUCUGACAACAGAGGAAAGUUAGAAGUGAACCACGUAGCUGGUUAAAGUCAUUUAUACGACUUCGUCACGACAUGCGAGAUUCCCUUACUGACCAGGAGCCCGGACCAGUAGACUUCUACAAAGGGACUCACUAUCGACAGGCGACGGGAUCUUGGGUACAUCCUAGAGCCAGCGAGAUUUGAGAGGAGAUGGACACCUUACGCAGUCAGCCCACUCUUGAUGGUACUCAGCGGAGUGAGCUAGAGAUCCUGAGUCAGGUGCUUGGCACCCGUUCUGAAUAUGUGCGUGGGUUUGGCCAUGGUGCCAAGCUCAUGGCACCCGCCAGAGCUGCCUCCAGCCGAUCCAUCGUCGUUGGCGACAACGCCGUACGCCGAGCUGAUACCGCAGAGAGAGAGGUUCACAGCUACGGGUCGUCGUCGAUGACAUCAAAGAUCAGCUGGACAGGCAUAGGGAGGAGCAGGAGAGGAAGAU